rnacentral:rRNA from 1 species
AAGGAUCAUUAAAGAGUAAGAGCCACUCGGGCUCGACCUCCAACCCUCUGUGUACCUACCUCAGUUGCUUUGGCGGGCCGCUGGGCCAAAAGCCCACCACUUGCCCAGGCCGGUGAGCGCCCGUCAGAGACCCUUCAAACCUUACCUCCCCUUGACGUCUGAGUAUCAUACAAUCGUUAAAACUUUCAACAACGGAUCUCUUGGUUCUGGCAUCGAUGAAGAACGCAGCGAAAUGCGAUAAGUAAUGUGAAUUGCAGAAUUCAGUGAAUCAUCGAAUCUUUGAACGCACAUUGCGCCUCUUGGUAUUCCAGGAGGCAUGCCUGUUCGAGCGUCAUUUCAACCCUCAAGCUCGGCUUGGUCAUGGGCCGCAUCCGGCAAGGUUGGGCCCCAAAUUCAGUGGCGGUGCCGCCCGGCUUCAAGCGUAGUGAUGAAUCUUUGUCGCUUUGGAGGUCGGGCGUGCUGCUUGCCAUCCAAACCCCCAUCUCAAGAGUUGACCUCGGAUCAGGUAGGGAUACCCGCUGAACUUAA